UUGAGUACCGAGAACAGAAUCAGAAUAGGUGAAGGUUAGUAACAUCAUAUCUUUAUGUUGUACCUGCAAUUCAGAAUUUUUGUUUCUCAAAGGUUCACUAAAGCCUACACUAAGCUUUAUGCCUCAGCAAUAUACCACUGGAAUGGAUUUCCUCCUUUGAAAGAGAAUUGUUUUAUUAACGAGAAGUAGAUUUUCUAAUUUAUAUUCAAUUUUUUACUUUGUAUUUUUGAUUAUGAAAUGUUUUUCUUAAUUUUGUUUCAGAGCUUCUUUCAUCAUCUGGCAACAAUUACACACGUAGUAUCUUCCCAGUGGAUAAUGGUGAUUCUUCUCAAACAGGAUUCAGCCCACUUUUUUCUUGUGUUGUUGCACAACUUCAUUUUGUGUCUAAUAAUUUGACCUGGGCUGAUGCACAGAGCUACUGCAGGGCUAACUACACUGACCUGGUAACUAUUAAUAAAGAAGAUGAAACUCCAGCCUACAUAUCAGGAAAACAAGAAUUUUGGAUCGGGCUGAAACGUUACAAUGACAACUGGCAGUGGUCAAAUAAUGAUGAAGUUGCAUAUUCAAAGUGGAAAAGAGAUUUCUUCUGCGCUUUUGUCCAGUCUGAUGGCUCCUGGAAUGAUACAGUCUGUUACAAAAAUUUUACUUUCAUGUGCUACAAAG